GCAAGUCGAACGAGAAAUUACCUUCGGGUAAUGGAAAGUGGCACACGGGUGAGUAACGCGUGGCAACCUACAUUUUUCUACGGGACAACAGUUGGAAACGACUGCUAAUACCGUAUACGUCCUCCGGGAGAAAGAUUUAUCGGUGAAAGAUGGGGCCGCGUUAGAUUAGCUUGUUGGUGAGGUAAUGGCUCACCAAGGCGACGAUCUAUAGCUGGUCUGAGAGGAUGAUC
rnacentral:rRNA from 1 species